rnacentral:rRNA from 1 species
GCGCCGUCCUUAAUACAUGCAAGUGGAGGGGACGGACGGGAGCUUGCUCCUUUAGUUCAGCGGCGGAGGGGUGAGUACCACGUGGGUACCCUCCCUGUAAGAUUGGGAUAAUUCCGGGAAACCGGGGUUAAUCCCGGAUGCUUGAUUGAACCCCAUGGUUCAAUCAUAAAAGGUGGCUUUUAGCUACCACUUACAGAUGGACCCGCGGCGCAUUAGCUAGUUGGUGAGGUAACGGCUCACCAAGGCGACGAUGCGUAGCCGACCUGAGAGGGUGAUCGGCCACACUGGGACUGAGACACGGCCCAGACUCCUACGGGAGGCAGCAGUAGGGAAUCUUCCGCAAUGGACGAAAGUCUGACGGAGCAACGCCGCGUGAGUGAUGAAGGUUUUCGGAUCGUAAAACUCUGUUGUUAGGGAAGAACAAGUACCGUUCGAAUAGGGCGGCACCUUGACGGUACCUAACCAGAAAGCCACGGCUAACUACGUGCCAGCAGCCGCGGUAAUACGUAGGUGGCAAGCGUUGUCCGGAAUUAUUGGGCGUAAAGCGCGCGCAGGCGGUUUCUUAAGUCUGAUGUGAAAGCCCCCGGCUCAACCGGGGAGGGUCAUUGGAAACUGGGGAACUUGAGUGCAGAAGAGGAGAGUGGAAUUCCACGUGUAGCGGUGAAAUGCGUAGAGAUGUGGAGGAACACCAGUGGCGAAGGCGACUCUCUGGUCUGUAACUGACGCUGAGGCGCGAAAGCGUGGGGAGCGAACAGGAUUAGAUACCCUGGUAGUCCACGCCGUAAACGAUGAGUGCUAAGUGUUAGAGGGUUUCCCCCCUUUAGUGCUGCAGCAAACGCAUUAAGCACUCCGCCUGGGGAGUACGGUCGCAAGACUGAAACUCAAAGGAAUUGACGGGGGCCCGCACAAGCGGUGGAGCAUGUGGUUUAAUUCGAAGCAACGCGAAGAACCUUACCAGGUCUUGACAUCCUCUGACAACCCUAGAGAUAGGGCUUCCCCUUCGGGGGCAGAGUGACAGGUGGUGCAUGGUGUCGUCAG